rnacentral:rRNA from 1 species
AUACGGAGGGGGUUAGCGUUGUUCGGAAUUACUGGGCGUAAAGCGUACGUAGGCGGACUGGAAAGUUGGGGGUGAAAUCCCGGGGCUCAACCCCGGAACUGCCUCCAAAACUUCCAAUCUAGAGAUCGAGAGAGGUGAGUGGAAUUCCAAGUGUAGAGGUGAAAUUCGUAGAUAUUUGUAGGAACACCAGUGGCGAAGGCGGCUCACUGGCUCGAUACUGACGCUGAGGUACGAAAGCGUGGGGAGCAAACAGGAUUAGAAACCCUAGUAGUCC